GGCGGCGCAGGUAAACCUUCAGAUAUUAUCUUCUCUAGCGUAUCUCCUCCCUUUCUUCUGUCCAUUUGUUGCCCCUCUCCUCCGGCAUGCCCUUCCCUACCAUGGCGCCUUCUCUCUCUCCCUCCCUCCCCUCUCAUGGUGCCCUUCUCUCCCUUCCCAUGGGAUCCCUCCCCCUCCCUUCUUCAUGUGGCGCCUCAUUACUCCCUAUUCUUGUGUCUGUUAAUUCAGGUUCAGUUUUGCAAAUCUGCAGCAAUCAAGUCCUAAUCCCUUUCCGCUGUUUUAGGUUGAUUGGAAUUCAGUUUUGCAAGUCUCUGCAGCGGUCAAUUAAAAAGAAGAUGCCAUGCUCAGUCUCGCUACUGCUACGAAGACUCUAACAAAGAUGUCUAGAAUCAGUCCCUCUUCGCAUCUCUAUCAAAUAACAUGAAAACAUCACACUCAUUUUUUGUUCAUAUUCUUAAGUGUUCAUUGUUCAUUAUUUUUGUUCGUCGGUCUGUAAGCUUGCCUUCUCAGUCUUAAUUAUCAUUUGCAUCUUUCUUCAGUCCUAUCUCUCAUGGGUUUUGUCUUUUAGUAGAUGAUUAUUUCUGUUGUGAACCUUAUGUUCCUGUAAGUGUUAAAAAAUUUCAGUUUUUUGCACUGGUUUUUCUGUUAGAUUAUUUUCAGUUUUUAGUCAUCAGUAUACCUAAGUAUCAGUCUCAGUUCUUUUCAGCUAUAUGUUAAGAGGUUAUUAUUUCGCCAGUAUCUUAAGUGUCUCAUUUUAGUUCUCUUUAGUUAUUUGGUCAGUGUUUGUUCUUGUCUAUCAGUUUUAAGUUCAGUCAUUUAUUAGUGUACUUUCCAUUCAGCUUAUUAUUUUCAAUUUAUUUUGUUGUUCUUGUAUUUUCAGCAUUCAUUUUAAAAUGGUUAGACUUGCUAUGUGUUUAUAAUUCCUGUAGUGUAAAUUAGUUAUCUGGUGAGUCUCUAUUCUUAAUUUUUCAGUCAUCUUUUUGCUAACAAAUAGUUUUUUUUCUACCACAUGUGUAACAGUAAUAGGGAUGGUGUGCCAAAUCUGCAAGUCCAACUGAGCUAGCCAUCGCUCAUCGGGUUUAAAUUUUCGUGUUUGAUUGUCUGAAGACAUUGAAAGCUCGGUGGUAACUUAGUUUUGAAUAUGCUUAAUUUAUCAGUAUAGUCUAGUUCCCUGUCAUGGUCAGUUAUUAGUUUAUCACUACAAUCUACUUCUCUGUUAUGGUCAAUUUUUCAUUCAUCAGUCAUUUAUAGGAGGCUAUGAUGUGGAUAUUACCACACCUCCCUGUAUGUUUUAUGAUAGCAUGAUAGUUGUCCUGUUCAGUUAAACAUUUCAUUUCUUCUUUAGUUUGUGUAUGAUUUCAUUAUUUUUCUUUUCAGAUAUAAACUUAGUCCUUUUAGCUGAUAGAAUUAUAGCAACUUUAGCUUUUUCAUAGAUUUCGUUUUUUCUAAUUUUCGGUCAUUAGUUUUGUUGCAUUUAUUUUCUUUUUUAGUCUAUCAAUUUUUAGAGUUUAGCUAUUUGUCAGUCUCAUCUGCAAACGUCUCAUGCCCCAACAAGCAUGAGGAUAGCCUAUCUUUUGUUCUUCAUUUUCCAUUUUUUUUGCUUUUUUCUGCAGUUUAUCCCAUGCCACUCAACGGGCGAAUUCAAUUGCGCCACUGGCGACCGCAUGCUGUUUGAGGAAUGUGAGGGGCACAAAUUCAUCACCAAGAUCAGGAAAGAACACAGGAGGACCUGCAUCUCUGGCAUUGGGUGGGAGGAGUUCAUCAGGUUGAACAAUCUCAGUGAGGGAGUUUUGCUCCAUUUUGUACUCGAUUGACCAGUGCCAAAGUUGCAUAUUGGCAUGGUUGCGCCACCUCCCAACCAGGCUGAUCUAGCGCUUGAGGCUGCUAUGUUCACGGAAGACAUCAAGAAGAAGGCAAGAGAGUGUGCAAAGUUGUAUGAAAGUCUACUAUAUUGACCAACGGAUACAUGGGGUGCCAUUUGUGCAUCUUUUUUUGUUCAUUUUCAGUGUGACCAUUCAUUCUUCAGUUUUCUGGUCUCCAGUAUAUUCUUGUUGUGGUCAGUUUUGAACUAGAGAAGAAAGUUAAAAGGGACAUAUAGAUAAGCGAGACUCUGGUUUGCAUCCA